GACGAACGCUGGCGGCGUGCCUAACACAUGCAAGUCGAACGGUAAGGCCCUUCGGGGUACACGAGUGGCGAACGGGUGAGUAACACGUGGGUGAUCUGCCCUGCACUUCGGGAUAAGCCUGGGAAACUGGGUCUAAUACCGGAUAGGACCACUGCCUGCAUGGGUGGUGGUGGAAAGCUUUUGCGGUGUGGGAUGGGCCCGCGGCCUAUCAGCUUGUUGGUGGGGUGAUGGCCUACCAAGGCGACGACGGGUAGCCGGCCUGAGGGGGUGACCGGCCACACUGGGACUGAGAUACGGCCCAGACUCCUACGGGAGGCAGCAGUGGGGAAUAUUGCACAAUGGGCGCAAGCCUGAUGCAGCGACGCCGCGUGAGGGAUGACGGCCUUCGGGUUGUAAACCUCUUUCAGCACCGACGAAGCGCAAGUGACGGUAGGUGCAGAAGAAGGACCGGCCAACUACGUGCCAGCCGCCGCCGCAG
rnacentral:rRNA from 1 species